AUCAAAUAAAAUAUACUAUCACUUGUUAUAAUAUCAACUCAGUACAUAUGUGCAACCAUCCACAAUUAACUAAUUUACUGAAAUAAACCAUAGUAAAAAACAAGUCCAAUAUACAAUUCCAAAAGUAUAACUGUAUAUACACAACUCUCAAAUAUUAAAACAACUAUCCUAUUAACAUCCUGGAUGAUAUUGUAGUGGACCGACCUCUAUCUGUAGCAAAAAUCUGCAACAAAAAAGGUGGCAGGAGAAUGUUAGAUAGAAUCAUAAUAAAAAGAAAGCUUGGUAUACAAUUUUUGACGAAUCAAAUCAUUUAAAAUAACUAGUUUUCUCAAAUAAGUUAUACAGAAUGAUAACUAUCAACUUUUUUUACAACAAUUCAAAUCCCAUAUAUGUAAAUACUUUCUCCAAACAUGAGAAUAAAUUUCAUCCAAGCAAAAAUAAUAAUUUCUCUAUAACAAUUUUUUUGCAUAAAUAAAUAACUUUCUUUUACCAAAUGUGUCAAAUGAGUCGUUUAACCUCACAACUUGGGAGUUAUGACGGUACUAUUACCUCAGUCACAAACUCACAUGUAGUAAUUAUGAGGACGACCAUUCUUUAUCACCAAUGGUAGUUGCCAGCAUGUUAGAUUAGUAGGAUUCUAAAGGAAGCAACAACCAAGCGCAAGAGGCAGCAACAACAAGUUUGACCAAAUAAUCAACGCAAGCACAACAACCAGCUUGCAACAAUGCACAAGAGGCAUUAAAAUAACAUUAAAAAUUAAAAUAUUGAUCCAUCAAAUUCAAAACAUAUCAACAAAUUCUACAAUAAGAAUUAUAUCAUGGAAUACUAUUUCAAUUCAAAAUGAAAAGAAUUCAAACUAUUAUGAAAUGAUACACUCUCACAUUAACAAAGUCAAAAUUUUGAUACACAGCAAUCCGUACUUUGGCCCGACGUACUGACACGCGCUUCUAUAUCCCCACCGAAAAUAUGACUUAUACGAUAAUCUAAUCAGAUUCUAUUCUUCCUAUAACAAAAAAUGCAAUGAAAUGCAGAACAUGCAAACAUGCAACUCUGACCCUAUUGCCAAUCUCUAUUUUUAUGAGUACAGAAACAUUUAUAUAAAUCCUGAAAUUUGUUUUUUUUUUUUUUUUUGUUUUUUUUUUUUUUUUGUUUUUUUUAUACCUAGAAUGUAUACAUAUAAAUGUACAACAUAUUAAAAGUUUAGAAAUUUUGAAUAUCAUUAACUAUUUUUAAAAACCAAAAAUCAAAAGGAUAAAUUCUGCACUGAGAAUCAACAACAACAGUUCGGUUUAUCAUUUUUAUAAAUUUCUUCGAAUCGAAUUUGACUCCGAAAGUUUUACACAAUAUAGUAGACACAUUUAUCCAUUUAUAGAAAACAUUUCAUAAACUUUUAAACUAUAUAACCUAUUUUUAAAAAGUCAAUAGUCUUCUCAGAAUUUUUAAAAAUCUGCUCACCCACAAAUAGCACAAAACAGUCCGAAACUCAAAUUAUUGACUCUAUAAUCACAUUAAAUUUCAAUACAACAUAAACUAAACUUAAACAUGCAUAUAGUCCUUUGAUUUUCAUAUUUUUUUCUAAUUUCAUAUCCAGAUUCUAAAAUAUGAGAUACUCUGAAACAAAUCUGACAUAUAUAUAGAAAUCAUACCUAAUUAAACUUUCUAAUUGUUGUCGCUAAAAUUUUCCAAACCUUGUCUCCUAGCUUUCUUCUUCAUCCGAUCUCUGCC
rnacentral:lncRNA from 1 species